UACGUAGGGGGCAAGCGUUGUCCGGAUUUAUUGGGCGUAAAGAGCGUGUAGGCGGCCAAACAGGUCCGUUGUGAAAACUAGAGGCUUAACCUCUAGACGUCGAUGGAAACCGUCUGGCUAGAGUCCGGAAGAGGAGAAUGGAAUUCCUGGUGUAGCGGUGAAGUGCGCAGAUAUCAGGAAGAACACCCGUGGCUAAGGCGGUUCUCUAGUACGGUACUGACGCUGAGACGCGAAAGCGUGGGGAGCGAACAGG
rnacentral:rRNA from 1 species